AUCACGUGUACAAACAUCAACAAAAAGCAAAAAUAAAAAUUUGGAGAUCAACUACAAACGCCGGCCAUGACCACCGUCUGCGUGACCGGAGCAACCGGCUACAUCGGUAGCUGGCUAGUCCGUUCGCUCCUUAGCAAAGAGUAUCUUGUUAACGCAACAACAAGAGAUAUAAAUAAGGGGCUAGAGAUCUUUGGAGAUUGUGAUGGGUUGAAGUUGUUUAGAGGUGAUCUUAGUGAAGAAGGGAGCUUUGAUGAGGCAGUUAAGGGUUGUGUUUGUGUUUUUCAUGUUGCGGCUUCUAUGGAGUUUGGCAUAACGGCUGCUGAAAAUAUAGAGGAGUAUGUGCAAUCAAAUGUACUAGAGCCUGCUAUCAGAGGAACCAUCAAUGUCCUACAAUCUUGUUCAAGAGCAAAAACUGUGAAGAGAGUGAUAUUUACGUCUUCAAUCAGUACAAUCACUGGUAAAGAUGACAACGGCAAUUGGAGAUCAGUUGUCGAUGAAUCGUCAACCAUAUCCUUAGAUCGAGUAUGGAAGGACAAGCCUAAUGGAUGGGUGUAUGCCCUCUCAAAGCUUUUAACAGAAGAGAAGGCCUUUGAGUUUGCAAAGGAGAAUGGAAUAGAUUUGGUUUCAAUCAUCCCACCCACAGUUGCUGGUCCUUUCCUUACUCCGACUGUUCCUGCAAGUCUACAAGUUCUCUUGUCUCCUGUCACAGGUGAUCCAAAACUGUAUGCGAUAUUACUUGCAGUACACUCUAGACUGGGAUCAAUUCCAUUAGUGCAUAUCGAAGAUAUAUGCAACGCACAUAUCUUUCUUAUGGAUGCAACUAAAGCGAAGGGACGAUAUGUUUGUGUUGCGGGAAGUUGUUCUCUGCCUCAGAUUGCUUCUUUGAUUGACGGAAGGGGUGAUGAAGAGAUUCAUGAAUCAAAAGCCUCUUUGGUUAUUUCUUCAAAGAAGUUAACUGAUUUGGGGUUUGAGUUUAAGUUCAGUGUGAGAGAUAUCGUCAAGGACACUGUUUCUUGCUACGUUGAGUGUGGUUUUCUAAAGAGUUGACAUGUAGCUAUGGUGAAGGAUUGAGCUCAUGAUUGAUAUAUUUCAUGUCAUCAAGGAUCUGUUGUUAGUUGUGUUGAGUACUGUUUUUUAAAGUACGGUCUCCACCAAACUCUAAGCAAGUUCUGGUGAAGGAAAUAAAAGUCACAACUGGCCCAGCUGGUUGCGAUUCACUAUUUAGUGGGAAAUUGCGUGGGCUGUUAUAAUGAUUAUGAUCUACCAGUUGAUUUAUGCCUAGCGCUCCUACAUGUGUGGGAGACUUUGGAUCUACC